GGCCUUAUAGUUAAAAUUAUAAUAUAAAAUUGCAAAUUUUAAGAUGGGGUUAAAAUUCUAAGGCUU
rnacentral:tRNA from 1 species